GACAGAGGUCCCAAGCGUUAGGCGGAAUCACUGGGCUUAAAGCGUGUGUAGGCGGACUUCUAAGUACCUUGUGAAAUCCCACGGCUCAACCGUGGAACUGCUUGGUAUACUGGUUGUCUUGGGCCAUCUAGGGGCUAGCGGAACAAACGGUGGAGCGGUGAAAUGCGUAGAUAUCGGGAGGAACACCGGUGGCGAAGGCGGCGACCUGGGUGGAUACUGACGCUGAGGUGCGAAAGCGUGGGGAGCAAACAGG
rnacentral:rRNA from 1 species